rnacentral:SRP_RNA from 1 species
GCUGGAUGUGGUGGCGCACAUCUGUAAUCCAGCACUUUGGGAGGCCGAGGUGGGCGGAUCACCUGAGGUCAGGAGUUCGAGACCAGCCUGGCCAACAUGGUGAAACCCCAUCUCUA